rnacentral:tmRNA from 1 species
GGGGGUGACUGGUUUCGACUUCGUCCGUGGAGACAGGGGAAGCGAGCCGAGGAAGCCGACGUCGUCUCGAGAAUCGGUCGUCGGAAACUUAUAAGCGCCAAGAACGAUAGCGCUGAGUCGUACGCUCUCGCCGCCUGAGGCGAGUAGCUGACUCUGUCGACCCGGGGGUGCCUCCGCCCCGGUUUGUCGACAUCAUUUAGGAGGCUGGCCAAUCGGACCCGGUCACGGGGGCCGUGCGGCGAGACUAAUCGUGGCUGGGCCCGUCACACCGACUCGCUCGCGUGAUCGGUGGGGCCGAGUAGAGGCACAGCGAGCUGCGCUCGGAGAAGCCCUGAUGAAGCGUCGAAGGACCCGGGUUCGAUUCCCGGCACCUCCAC